UAUGGCCAUAUCAAGUUGAAACACUGGUUCUCUUCUGAUCACUAAAGUUAAGCAACAUUGAGACUGGUCAGUACUUAGAUAGGUGACUGCUUGGGAAUAUCAGGUGCUGUAAG